rnacentral:sRNA from 1 species
AUCCUCGAUCUGCUGUGGGCAGAUGUAGUGGAUGUGACUGUCAAAACCGCCAGCCGUCAGGAUGCGCCCCUCGCCCGCGAUCACCUCGGUUCCAGGGCCGGCGAUGAUACCAACACCCGGCUGGGUGUCCGGGUUGCCCGCUUUGCCGAUGGCGGCAAUGCGCCCGUCCUUGAGGCCCACGUCGGCUUUGUAGAUGCCGGUCCAGUCCAGGAUCAGCGCGUUGGUAAUGACGGUAUCCACGGCCCCCUCGGCACGGGUUGCCUGCGCCUGCCCCAUGCCGUCGCGGAU